AUUGAACGCUGGCGGCAUGCCUUACACAUGCAAGUCGAACGGCAGCACGGGUGCUUGCACCUGGUGGCGAGUGGCGAACGGGUGAGUAAUACAUCGGAACGUACCUUAUCGUGGGGGAUAACGCAGCGAAAGCUGUGCUAAUACCGCAUACGCCCUGAGGGGGAAAGCGGGGGAUCGAAAGACCUCGCGCGAUUAGAGCGGCCGAUGCCUGAUUAGCUUGUUGGUGGGGUAAAAGCCCACCAAGGCGACGAUCAGUAGCUGGUCUGAGAGGACGAUCAGCCACACUGGGACUGAGACACGGCCCAGACUCCUACGGGAGGCAGCAGUGGGGAAUUUUGGACAAUGGGGGAAACCCUGAUCCAGCAAUGCCGCGUGAGUGAAGAAGGCC
rnacentral:rRNA from 1 species